UACAGAGGGUGCAAGCGUUAAUCGGAAUUACUGGGCGUAAAGGGCGCGUAGGCGGGCCAUUAAGUUAGAUGUGAAAUCCCUGGGCUUAACCUAGGAACUGCAACUAAUACUGAUAGUCUAGAGUGCAGUAGAGGAUAGUGGAAUUUCCGGUGUAGCGGUGAAAUGCGUAGAUAUCGGAAGGAACACCAGUGGCGAAGGCGGCUAUCUGGACUGACACUGACGCUGAGGCGCGAAAGCGUGGGGAGCAAACAGG
rnacentral:rRNA from 1 species